GAUGAAGAACGCAGCGAAAUGCGAUAAGUAAUGUGAAUUGCAGAAUUCAGUGAAUCAUCGAAUCUUUGAACGCACAUUGCGCCCGCCAGUAUUCUGGCGGGCAUGCCUGUUCGAGCGUCAUUUCAACCAUCAAGCCCUGCUUGCGUUGGGGUCCUGCGGCUGCCCGCAGGCCCUGAAAACCAGUGGCGGGCUCGCUAGUCACACCGAGCACAGUAAUACAUCUCGCUUUGGGCGUGCGGCGGGUUCUUGCCGUUAAACACCCCCUUUUUACCAAGGUUGACCUCGGAUCAGGUAGGAAUACCCGCUGAACUUAAGCAUAUCAAUAAGCGGAGGA
rnacentral:misc_RNA from 1 species